rnacentral:lncRNA from 1 species
UGUGUCCCGAGGACCAUGGCAACCCAGUUACUGUUUUCUUUCCUUUUUAAAAUUUAACCAUUGAACUAGCCCCUGCCCACACCUGCCUCUGUUUUCUAGUCAACUUUCUGCUGUGUGUAGCACGGAGAGUCUUUACUGGGUAGCUUUUGUUGAUGGCAGGCACAAUUCACAAUUCUGUCUUCUCACCCUUUUAUUGAAAUGGCAAAAUCCAAGCACAAAUACUGUUGUUAAGAGGGCUGAGAAGGCUACAGGAGACCAGAGUCACUGACCUUUAUUUUGAAAAUCAAGACCUCUUUUAAAGUUCCUGGAAGGAACUUAAGGAUGCUGUCGUUCAUGAGGGCACCGCAGAGUCCGGUGCAUGCAUGAAUGAAUGCACGAACACAUCAGUGCAUGCAGUCUACUGGCCCCAGCGAGGUCACCAUCUCAUCUCAGAUACUCAGAAACAAAACAGGGAAGGUCAAGGGAGCAAAUGCUACCUACAGGAGACUCAAGCACAUGAUGUGGACAAGGACACAGUGGGGAGAGUCAGAAGUUGCAAAGAAAGCCUCCCAGCAGAGCCAGGACACCAGAAAAGAGCUCCUGGGGAGGUGACAUCACACGGGCGUGGACGCUCAGGGCUGGCCUCUUGCUUUGUGACCUUCAGCGAGAUUGUCUUACCUUUGCUAGGCCGCAGUUUCUUUUUCUGCAAAGUGUGGAUGACACCGCCUCUUUCUCAGUUGUGA